UGCCCUCUGACAAUGGGCUAAGGGACACCCUGUUGGUGUUGUUCUUAUAUCAGUCAGGGGCAGAGUAGAUGGCAGUCCUCUGUUCAUUCUAGCUUGAUGCCUGGCUUGUUGGCCAAAGCUAUCUUAUGCCUAGGACUCAUAA
rfam:Mus musculus chromosome 5, GRC primary reference assembly.